AUAGGAGGAGGGCCUGCCUUAGUCCUCGGGAUAGAUGGAAAACUGAAAUUAUCUCUCUCCAAUCCAAAACCAAAAGAUGACAUGUUAUGGUGGGGUUGCAGCAGCGGCAGCCCUUCCUUCUCUUCCGCCUACAACUCUGACUACACUUCCUUCUUCAACCCGUAACACCUCUGUAAGAGUAAGAGAUGUGGGCAGUGGUGGCGCAGAACAUCCUAAUACGGUAUUGAAGCCAACCGUUGAUGGGUUUAAGUGGCGCUUACUUAUAUCUUAUGAUGGCACUCACUAUAAAGGCUGGCAAUUUCAGCAAACCCCUCCAACUAUACAGUGCAUUCUAGAAAAAGCUUUAACUCGAGCUACAAAGCUUGAAAGGAAGGAUCUUCAUUUAGUUGGUGCCAGUAGGACAGAUGGAGGAGUGCAUGCCUGGGGUCAGGUGGCACACUUUGUUACACCUUUCAAUUAUGACAGCUUGGAUAGCAUUCAUGCAGCUCUCAAUGGUCUUCUUCCUCCUGACAUUCGUGUUAGAGAAAUUAGUGCUGUAGUUCCUGAGUUCCAUGCUCGAUUUUCUGCUAAGGGAAAGACUUAUCACUACAAGAUAUUUAAUGAUGCUGUCAUGGAUCCAUUUCAGCGUCUGUAUGCAUACCAUGUUACUCAUAAACUCAAUGCUGCUGUAAUGAGAGAAGCAGCAAAUCAUUUUAUUGGAACCCGCGAUUUCUCUGCUUUUGUCAAUUCAUCACGCAAUGAUGGAGUGCCAAAUCCAGUGAAGACUAUUUUUCGAUUUGAUAUCAUCAAAAUGGGAGCUCUCCUACAGCUAGAAGUUGAAGGCUCAGGUUUCAUGUAUAGACAAGUGCGGAACAUGGUUGCUUUGCUGCUCCAAAUUGGCAAGGAAGCAAUUGCUCCCGAUAUUGUCCCAAAGAUUUUAGCUACUCAUGAUCGCAAGGAGCUCGCUAAAUAUACCUUGGCUGCCCCACCUCACGGACUCUGUCUUGUAGCUGUUAAGUAUAAUGAAGAGCACCUACAACUUCCGUUAGGUUGCCCUACAACCAGUUUUGGUAGGCAUCACAGCAUAAGCAAGUGAGUGGGUUGGAAGGACUUGGAAUAUUGGAAGAAAUCCUUGUUUUCAUGACUGACCAAUUCAUAGUGGAGCCUUACUUCCCAGAUCUCUUUGCUAGGCAAUUUGGAUUGUGUGAGGACAUCCCCAUCCCUUUAUUGGCUGUAUAUAAUCACCAAGGCAUAUCCAUAGGGCUAUUCUCCCCUUUUGAGGUCUUUGACCUUAUGUAGAAGAACAUCAUGGACUAUAAGAUUGUGACCUCCCUUUUUAAACUACAAUUGCAUUUACCUAUGGUGUAGCUUUCAUUAAAUGGUGGAGCUUUCAUAUCUCUUGUGCUAUUUUUGUCCUCGAAAGGCAUUUGAGGCUCAACUCAAAUGAUACGUGAAAAAUUAGAAGCAUGUGAAGAGAGGACUUCCACGAGAUUUGCUCCUUUGAUAAUUUAAUCCUUAGAACUCAACAGAAGAUUGUGAACGUGGAAAGUCUGCAGAUGAGCUUGGACAUACCUUGAACUGAGCCCUUCAUGAAGGGUAAGAUAAAAACAAUUUCUUAAAGUUGUUGCCAAAAAAAUAAAUAUAGAAUCCAACCCGUACCAGGAGUCUAUAAAUUCUAGGAAGCCAGUCCUCUCUUACAAGGAGAAAAACCGCACCAAUUUCUCUUCAUACACGAGGCGUUUCCGCUCCUAGGGAUGGAAUUAUCAAAGGGACUCCCGGAACUCUUUCGCCUAAGGUUACUUCAUUACCUCCAACAACAGAAGUGAUCCAUCUUGAAAAAGAUGCUCAUUUAGAGGCUGCUAUUGCUGCUUCUUUAAGAACUCUAACCUUCCCAGCUUUCAGAAUUAAGCUUGUGGAACAAGUACAAAAAGUGACUUGUUCCAAUGAAAGUUUAAAGUACCUUCUUCA